rnacentral:rRNA from 1 species
CCUGACGCAGCGACGCCGCGUGGAUGAUGAGGGCCGAAAGGUUGUAAAGUCCUUUUGCUGGGGAGGAAUAAGUGUGGGAGGGAAUGCCCGCAUGAUGACAUGAACCGGCGAAUAAGCCCCGGCCAACUACGUGCCAGCAGCCGCGGUAACACGUAGGGGGCGAGCGUUGUUCGGAAUUACUGGGCGUAAAGGGCAUGUAGGCGGUCUGGUAAGCCUGGCGUGAAAGGCCACAGCUCAACUGUGGGAUUGCGUUGGGAACUGCUGGGCUUGAGUUAUGGAGAGGGAGCUAGAAUUCCUGGUGUAGGGGUGAAAUCUGUAGAUAUCAGGAAGAAUACCGAUGGCGAAGGCAAGCUCCUGGCCGAUGACUGACGCUGAGGUGCGAAAGUGUGGGGAUCAAACAGGAUUAGAUACCCUGGUAGUCCACGCUGUAAACGAUGUGCACUAGGUGCUGGGGCGGUAGCUUCAGUGCCGGAGCGAACGUGGUAAGUGCACCGCCUGGGGAGUAUGCUCGCAAGGGUGAAACUCAAAGGAAUUGACGG